rnacentral:rRNA from 1 species
UACAGAGGGUGCAAGCGUUAAUCGGAAUUACUGGGCGUAAAGCGUGCGUAGACGGUUACGUAAGUCGGGUGUGAAAGCCCCGGGCUCAACCUGGGAAUUGCAUUCGAGACUGUGUAGCUAGGGUGCGGAAGAGGGAAGCGGAAUUUCCGGUGUAGCGGUGAAAUGCGUAGAUAUGCGGAGGAACACCGAUGGCGAAGGCAGCCUCCUGGACGGGUACUGACGCUGAGGCGCGAAAGCGUGGGGAGCGAACGGG